rnacentral:rRNA from 1 species
AGGACGAACGCUGGCGGCGUGCUUAACACAUGCAAGUCGAGCGGAAAGGCCCUUCGGGGUACUCGAGCGGCGAACGGGUGAGGUAACACGUGAGUAACCUGCCCUAGCUCUGGGAUAGCUCCGGGAAACCGGGAUUAAUACCAGAUACGACCACUUUAGACAUCUGUCGUGGUGGAAAGGAUUCCGGCUAGGGAUGGGCUCGCGGCCUAUCAGCUUGUUGGUGGGGUAACGGCCUACCAAGGCGACGACGGGUA